rnacentral:hammerhead_ribozyme from 1 species
UUGUUGUUGAAGAGUCCCACAAUAGGAUGAAACGGCCGUCCAGUAC